ACGGAAGGCAGCAGUGGGGAAUAUUGCACAAUGGGGGAAACCCUGAUGCAGCGACGCCGCGUGAUUGAAGAAGUAUUUCGGUAUGUAAAGAUCUAUCAGCAAGGAAGAAAAUGACGGUACUUGACUAAGAAGCCCCGGCUAACUACGUGCCAGCAGCCGCGGUAAUACGUAGGGGGCAAGCGUUAUCCGGAUUUACUGGGUGUAAAGGGAGCGUAGGCGGUUUGGCAAGCCAGAAGUGAAAACCCGGGGCUCAACCUCGGGAUUGCUUUUGGAACUGUCGAACUAGAAUGUUGGAGAGGUAAGUGGAAUUCCUAGUGUAGCGGUGAAAUGCGUAGAUAUUAGGAGGAACACCAGUGGCGAAGGCGGCUUACUGGACAAUAACUGACGCUGAGGCUCGAAAGCGUGGGGAGCAAACAGGAUUAGAUACCCUGGUA
rnacentral:rRNA from 1 species